rnacentral:rRNA from 1 species
CCAAAGCAAAUAAAAGGGAACUCUCCCUUGCUUUAUAAUAAAAUUGAGUAGACUAAGUGGGAAAAAAGGGAUGUUAGUCCCCUUUUUAUGGCCGAUUCAUUGGAUUGGGCCCCCAAAAGAUACCUUUUGGGGCCAUUGGCGUAGAGAGGGGGGAUCCGAUUUUCGGAUCGGCGCCGAAGGCGCCCAACCCUACUCGAUUUUUAUGAAAAACCACUCUUUUUAUUAGGAUUACUGGCUAAAACCGUACAAGUAAGGUAGUUUGGUUGGGGCGACCGCCUUCGAAAAAGUAUCGAAGGCGUACAUAAGAUUAAUCCGGGGGGGGUGUCCUUUUUUCACCCCCAAACAAACCGGGGGUAAUGCCCCAAAAAAGAUUAGUUUGACUGAGAGGGCUACAACCCGAACAGGCGCUUGGGGAUCGUUAGGAUCCCUGGGCCCGGUUUAUACCAAGGGGCCUAAUUGACCAGCGGGCUCCUUUUUAUUCCCGGGUCGAACCUAGCGGGUCAUAG